rnacentral:SRP_RNA from 1 species
GUCAGGCAUGGUGAGGCAUGCCUGUAGUCCCAGCUACUUGGGAGGCUGAGGCAGGAGGAUGCCUUGAGCCCAGGAGUUCAAGGCUGCAGUGAGCCAUGAUUGCAACACUGCAUUCCAGCCUGGGCAACAGAGUGAAAUCCUGUCUCUA